rnacentral:lncRNA from 1 species
AUGAGAAGGACAUUUCAGCAGUUGGAGUAUGGUGACAACAUGUCCUCACUACUCUCCUCUUGUAAGGCAAGCCAUCUCCGAUCUCCUGGAAGAUCCGUUCUCCUCUAUCCUGUUGUUGGGGUGAAUUUAUGGCAGAGGGAAAGGGAAUUUUGUAUCAGGAUUGAGAGUCAGGACAAAAAAUAAAAGCCCUAGUAUGUUGGAAGGAGGUCAUUGGGCCCCGUUGUAAAGACAUGAAUGUGGAAGAUGAAGAAGACAUUAAUCAUAGACUUAUCAACGCCCCCAAAAGAUCUGUUCCCACGACUGAAGCAACUCUGGCCUUUG